ACUAUCAAAUGUCUGACUGUGAAAGCUUCUUGACAGAUGGAAUUCGAGCCAACUGCAGAAUUGAGAUCACCCAAUGCAGACUGACCUAAGGCCCCACUGUUCAGGAUACCAGGCUGACUCUGAGAGCCAUAACACCAACAGAACUGCCGGAGAUAAGAGAGAUGCGGCCAGAAAACCAUGGGGCCUGGCAUAGGAUGAUACGUGAGGCUUCAUUAGCUGCCAUGUUUUCUGGUAUCAGUUAGAGAGCACUGGAUUAUCUAGAAACUCAAAGCUUUGUCUUUCUUGGCCAUGACACGUUUUCCUUUGCCAUGACCUUGAAAUGGCUGAUGAUAUGAGGCCCCAACCGAGGAAAAGGAUCCAUAAACUAUUGAGAUUCUUUAAUCUUAAUGAACAAAAAAUGUCACCACCCGCAUCACUCUUCAUGAUCACCCUUAAUUUCAAGCUCUGUCUUUGGCAUCUGUGCUGCCCUACACAGCACCUACCCCCGCCAACCAUUGGAUAAGCCAGGAGUGUUGCUGGACAGUGGAAGAGGUGCUGGGGAUGUGCUCACAGUCUCCUGCUCGUCCUGAUGGUAAGUGGAUGCUCAGCUGCAGUUCAUGGAACACUUAUUCCCCUCCUUAGUAUCUCUUAUUCUAUAAAAGGAGAAAGAG